rnacentral:rRNA from 1 species
ACUUUCAACAACGGAUCUCUUGGUUCUGGCAUCGAUGAAGAACGCAGCGAAAUGCGAUAAGUAGUGUGAAUUGCAGAAUUCAGUGAAUCAUCGAAUCUUUGAACGCACAUUGCGCCCCUCGGUAUUCCGUGGGGCAUGCCUGUUCGAGCGUCAUU